CAGUGGAAAUGGUGGAAUA
rnacentral:siRNA from 1 species